CCUAAAUUCAUCUUGUCUAUGGCACAGAACAUGAAUAGCACAUGAGGAAGAACACAGCGGUGAUUUUAACAUUUAUUGGUGGCAGGGGGCGAAUAUAGUUUUUCAGACAACAACAACAUUUUGUCCUGUAGGCAGUGGUUGUGACAACUGUCUCUAAGUAAACGUCUAAGUACUGUCAGAAGUAUGCAAGGAACGUCUUGACAGGACAUUUUAGUUUCACUUUUUUAGCAUGAGAUAUGCUGCUGCUCGGUUCAGGUAGACUUUUAAUAUUAACACGUUUUUAAACACAAUCGAACGAAUAUAAUAAUAUAAGAUGAGGUGUACAACAUGAGAGCGCCGCGUUCACAUUGCACUGUGGCGAGAGCGAAUUAAUUUCGAAUUCUCAUAAUAACAACACAACCGCGUCACGUGACGCGUGCACGCUCUCCCGAGUGCUUUCACGCGGUUCAUUUGGCAUAUGUGAACAAGGCAAUCCCGCGCCAAAAAAAAAAAAAAAACCGAUCCUUAACAAGACCAAAAUUCAACAUUGUAAUAAUUUGAAUCCCUGUUUGGGAACAAAGCUACCGAUCUACAGGUGUGAAACCAACCUCAGAUGAAGACAGAUUAAUUUAUGAACUCUAUAUGGACUCGUGCAGGGAGCAAUGUAGUUUGAUGGCCGAGGGAAAGUUAUGGAGGACCCGUGGAGUUGGAGGAUGCACAGACAGUGUCAGCUUCACUAUGGAGCCAAAGGAUGGCAUCUGAAAUGGCAUGCCAUAAAAAGUGCCUCGGGCCCUUUUGGCGUCGAAGGCUGUCAUAAAUGAAGUCGGCGCUCUCUGAGGAAGAGUCAGGAAUGAUGCUUAAGAAACACGUUUGUAUUGAGUUUCCACUGUAUUUUCAUUAAUGCUAAAGACUUGUUAAAUUUACAACUUUUAAAAAACAAUUAUCAUUAUGAAGUAUAUGUAUUAAACAUGUAAUUUAAACAUAUUAAUUCAUACAAACAUAUAGAAGUUUGAUAUUUUACCCGGAAAUGUGUUCUUAAGGAACACUAAUCCUUAUAAACAUUCUAAUGAUAUUUUAACAUUUAAAAAAACACAUGAUCAUUUCCAAAUUGCAUCUGUUCACGGAAUCAGAAAAGAACAUACAUUGACCCUUUAACCGGCUACAGUGUGUUCACUGAGUUUGCACAUAGAAAAAGAGGAAGAUGCUGCGGGAGUGCCUGUAGACAUUGUCCGUACGGGCAAAUUAAUGUGGAGGAUCCUACUAAGAAGAAACUUCAACUCUUUGUUUUAUGUAUAGUAGUAAAUGUUAAGAUCGGCUGAACAACUCAUUUUGUGUGUUCCCAUAUUGAAUUUGGACUUCUUUUAAUGCACAUUCGUCUUACACUCUGUUUAAAAUGAUGAAAUACGCUACACCAGAUGUGCAACCCACACUCCAGGAAAUGGUUUGAAUCACAUCUAUCCACUGUGAUUUGACUUACAGGAGUUGGUGUGCUCCUCUGUCAGAUGAAUUCCACAAGCGGGAAUUUUCGCAGUGAUGAAUAUUCAUACGGUUACAGGCGAUCUUAAUUUUGACAGCUGUCAAUUCAGACUACGUGCUUCCUCCCUGGUAAAUGUACGACCAAGAAAACACCAUGGAAAAUGAAGUCUUCUCAUAAAAUGUGUGUUGACGUUAAAUACAUAGGCUUAGAAGGCUUCGUUUCAUGUUUAAAAAACCUGUAAAAACACAAAUUAUAUUUAAAGAGUUAACAGAAGUAUUUAUUAUUAUUUUAUGUAACUUAAACUAAUUAAAAUUACCUUUCUAGAAGUUCUCAAAUGUAUUUUGGCUUUGCUUCAACAGGUCUUGUACAAUUUACAUAUGCUAUAUACAGGGUUGUUGUCAAGGCCCUGUGUAAAAAUGUCCUUAACGGCAUACACUUUGAGCUACUUUGAGGGUGCAGGAGAUUAACAAUAAAAAAUGGUCCUUGGCCCUUUCAGCAACGACUGUAUGUGUUUGAGAUUCCGUGUGCAUGUUUAUGUAUUUACGCAUAAAGAAUUGUUUAAUUGCAUAUAAAGUUUAUUCAUUCAAAGUACAUCAUAUUCAAAGUACAUCACAUUCAGUUGUUAGUGUCUGCUACCUCCUGGCCAUUAUAUGCAUCUUCAUAUUUGCCUGUCUGAUUUAUAUCUCCCUGUGGCUAACUGAGAUUGAUACUCAGGUUUUCCAUCCACUGAAACUGAUUUCAGCGCAAAAAAUGAUAUGCAAAGCCAAGUAGGAUUUUGCCCCAGGCACUGGCCGUCCAACCUGUCACACAGCAUCGCAGGGCAGGAACAAGGAAACGGUCUCUGAAUGCGGGAAUGUGUGUGUAGCAGAGCCCUGUCCCAGCUUUGCCGACUGGCGCCGAGCACGAUAUCAGGCGACGGGAGGGUCCCAAGGCGGGCACACAUUUAUCAGGAGCAAGGCCCUGUGAACGUUGACAAGGAGAUUCAUGAUCUCAACAGUUCCAGGGAGGACAGGCAGGCAAGGGGCUUGUGGCAUCGUCAGUCCGGAUGAGAG
ensembl:lncRNA